GUUGCUCUUGUGAGAGAUCUUUUUCAAAAUUAAGUCUGGUAAAAACAAAGCUAAGAAGUUGUAUGACGCAAGAUCGAUUGGAGUCAAUGAUAUUAGUAUUUGUUGAACAGGAAUUGGCAUCUGAAUUAGAUCCAGAAGACAUAAUUGAAGAGUUCAAACAUCUUAACAAUACAAAACGGCGACUAGAACUUUAAUUAUUUUGAAAUUUUGUAACUGACACAUAUAUAUUAUAUAAUAUUAUAUUUAUUAUUUAUACAUGAUUUUAUUUUAAUUAUUUACCUACUGACAUCUAUUAUAUGCCAUCUGAAAUAGGGACAACGUUUUUUUUUUCAUAUUAGUUAUAAUAAAUAAUAAUAAUGACGAAUUUUAAAUUAACAAAAAUUGUACAAAAAGGGGGAGGCUAAGGGGCUUUAGCCAGGUUGCACCCUCUGCGUCAAAGGUCUGGACACGCCUAUGGUCGGUACAAAGUGUUACAAGGUGAAUUCACGUUCAAACUCUAAUAUAAGAAAACAUUUAAGUGUAAGUACAAUGUUAAUUUCAUACCUGCCUAUGACAGUUGACCCAUAUAAUAUCUUGUGUGUUAAAUUAAUUUUAAAUACCACACAAAUACAUAAUAUAUUACAAAAAUACAUCAAAAACAGUGGCGCACAGCUUUUUAAAAGUGCUUAGGAUGUAGGUAUCAUAGAUCUCAUUAUUCUAUAUUAUGUACUUUCCUGGGCCCCCACACUAGUCAUCUCAGAGGGGCCAAGUAUUCUUGUGUAUAUGAAAUAAAAUAAAAUAAAUAACCCCCUCCCCCCUAAAAAAAAAAUCCCAGUUGCGCCACUACUUAAAAAGUGUAAAUUAUUUAUCAAAACUUAUAAUGUUAAGUAAAAGGUUAUAUUAUUUCAUUUUAUUCAGACACAACAUUCAACUAUAUUAAAGAAAAUUGAUCACGUUGAUAAUGCAACGAACAAAAACACUUGAAGGAGAUGAAAUUAUGGAUUAUUGAAGCAUAAUGCUGGUGGUUCUUUAAGACAAUCAGAUAAAAACAACCAGUUUUAGAAGAUUUUUUAAACAACAAAAAAUUAACUAGUCAAAAUUUUAGUUGCAGCAUUAACAAAAGUAGUUGAUAUUUACAUGACUACAUGGCAAUACUCUGAUACAUUGCUAGUGAACGAUACGGUUGUUAAUGAUUUAGAAGAAAUCGACGCAUUGAACUUGAACAUUCUCGAGAACAUUCAAAAUGAUGAAGACCAUGAUUUGCUAUAUGCAUUACCAAAACACCAUCGAUGUUGUGUACACACAAUAAAUUUAAUUGCAACAAUGGAAUCUAAAAAAACUUUGUCUAAUCUUGCAUACAAAAAACAGUCUAGAAGAACUUUUGCCAAGUCUACCGCUUUGUGAAUCAAACAAGGUCACUCAACUAAGUCAGCUGAUUUAUUUAAACAAAAUCUUGGUGUUAAUUUAAUUACACCCAACGAGACAAGAAACAUUAUACUAGAAAUGACUUUAUCAAUGCAGGUGUAACAGCAACAGAAUUAUUAUAGUACUGCUUACUAAGACAUAGAGGAAAUUCGACAACCUCUACGUGCUUCUCUCUUGAUGCGGAUUUUGUAAUGUAUUUGUAUCAAAUGUCAAACAUGCAUUUAAACUAGCUAUGACUCCCACAGUAGGUGAACCGGGCAUACAGCGGGGCAUGGUAAUGCAUCAGACGAGGAGAGACCGCUAGACACUCAGUCACAGUUUUCGGUUUGUUUGCCUCAUCGUGUUACCUGACCUUUGCACGUCAUCCGCUAUACGACAAAGUCGGAUGGCCUACCUGCCAGACUACACUCAAAACAGAGCCGCUUUUUCACUUACAUCUAGCAUGCGACGGGUCAUGCAUCCAAUCCACCAUACACACAUGCCCUUUAACUCAUAGAUUUGCAUAGAGCGAUGAUUAUUAAUUACAAAUUUGUACAAAUUAAAUACAAAAUAAAAUAAUUUAUUUGUCUAAUCUUGCAUACAAAAAACAGUCAAGAAGCACUUUUUCCAAGUCUACCGCUUUGUGGAAUAAACAAGGUCGUUCAACUAAGUCAGCUGAUUUAUUUAAACAAAAUCUUGGUGUUAAUUUAAUUACACCCAACGAGACACGUUGGAAUUCACUGUAUGGUGCAGUGGUGCUGCUUAAUAAAUAAAU